ACGCUGGCGGCAGGCCUAACACAUGCAAGUCGAGCGGUAGCACAGGGGAGCUUGCUCCCUGGGUGACGAGCGGCGGACGGGUGAGUAAUGUCUGGGAAACUGCCUGAUGGAGGGGGAUAACUACUGGAAACGGUAGCUAAUACCGCAUAACGUCGCAAGACCAAAGAGGGGGACCUUCGGGCCUCUUGCCAUCAGAUGUGCCCAGAUGGGAUUAGCUAGUAGGUGGGGUAAUGGCUCACCUAGGCGACGAUCCCUAGCUGGUCUGAGAGGAUGACCAGCCACACUGGAACUGAGACACGGUCCAGACUCCUACGGGAGGCAGCAGUGGGGAAUAUUGCACAAUGGGCGCAAGCCUGAUGCAGCCAUGCCGCGUGUGUGAAGAAGGCCUUCGGGUUGUAAAGCACUUUCAGCGAGGAGGAAGGUGGUGAACUUAAUACGGUCAUCAAUUGACGUUACUCGCAGAAGAAGCACCGGCUAACUCCGUGCCAGCAGCCGCGGUAAUACGGAGGGUGCAAGCGUUAAUCGGAAUUACUGGGCGUAAAGCGCACGCAGGCGGUUUGUUAAGUCAGAUGUGAAAUCCCCGGGCUCAACCUGGGAACUGCAUUUGAAACUGGCAAGCUAGAGUCUCGUAGAGGGGGGUAGAAUUCCAGGUGUAGCGGUGAAAUGCGUAGAGAUCUGGAGGAAUACCGGUGGCGAAGGCGGCCCCCUGGACGAAGACUGACGCUCAGGUGCGAAAGCGUGGGGAGCAAACAGGAUUAGAUACCCUGGUAGUCCACGCUGUAAACGAUGUCGAUUUGGAGGUUGUGCCCUUGAGGCGUGGCUUCCGGAGCUAACGCGUUAAAUCGACCGCCUGGGGAGUACGGCCGCAAGGUUAAAACUCAAAUGAAUUGACGGGGGCCCGCACAAGCGGUGGAGCAUGUGGUUUAAUUCGAUGCAACGCGAAGAACCUUACCUACUCUUGACAUCCAGAGAACUUUCCAGAGAUGGAUUGGUGCCUUCGGGAACUCUGAGACAGGUGCUGCAUGGCUGUCGUCAGCUCGUGUUGUGAAAUGUUGGGUUAAGUCCCGCAACGAGCGCAACCCUUAUCCUUUGUUGCCAGCGGUUCGGCCGGGAACUCAAAGGAGACUGCCAGUGAUAAACUGGAGGAAGGUGGGGAUGACGUCAAGUCAUCAUGGCCCUUACGAGUAGGGCUACACACGUGCUACAAUGGCAUAUACAAAGAGAAGCGACCUCGCGAGAGCAAGCGGACCUCAUAAAGUAUGUCGUAGUCCGGAUUGGAGUCUGCAACUCGACUCCAUGAAGUCGGAAUCGCUAGUAAUCGUAGAUCAGAAUGCUACGGUGAAUACGUUCCCGGGCCUUGUACACACCGCCCGUCACACCAUGGGAGUGGGUUGCAAAAGAAGUAGGUAGCUUAACCUUCGGGAGGGCGCUUACCACUUUGUGAUUCAUGACUGGGGUGAAGUCGUAACAAGGUAACCGUAGGGGAACCUGCGG
rnacentral:rRNA from 1 species